GUUCUCGUGAGAGUUCCUAGUCGGU
rnacentral:piRNA from 1 species